rnacentral:rRNA from 1 species
UGGGGAAUAUUGCACAAUGGGGGAAACCCUGAUGCAGCGACGCCGCGUGAACGAAGAAGGUAUUCGUAUCGUAAAGUUCUGUCCUAUGUGAAGAUAAUGACAGUACCAUAGAAGAAAGCUCCGGCUAAAUACGUGCCAGCAGCCGCGGUAAUACGUAUGGAGCGAGCGUUGUCCGGAAUUCUUGGGCGUAAAGGGUACGCAGGCGGUUUAAUAAGUCGAAUGUUAAAGAUCGGGGCUCAACCCCGCAAAGCAUUGGAAACUGAUAAACUUGAGUAGUGGAGAGGAAAGUGGAAUUCCUAGUGUAGUGGUGAAAUACGUAGAUAUUAGGAGGAAUACCAGUAGCGAAGGCGACUUUCUGGACACAAACUGACGCUGAGGUACGAAAGCGUGGGGAGCAAACAGG